rnacentral:lncRNA from 1 species
UCCAUCUCUAUGAAAUAAGUUCCACACUUUACUGGGUGAAAUAAGUUCUGGGUUGGUGAAAUUUGUUCCUUACCUAGUGAAAUAAGUUCCAUGUUUGUGAGAUUUGUUCCUUACCUGGUGAAAUAAGUUCUGGAUUUGUGAAAUUUGUUCCUCACCUGGUGAAAUAAGUUCCUUGUCUGUGAAAUAUGUUCCACUGGUUAAACAAGUUAUCUUAUAUACUGAGCACUUGUCAUCAGUGAGUUUAAAGUCAUUAUAAAAAA